GGCAGAAGCAUUUCUGUCUGCACGGCGCUCUUUCAAAACCUCUAUUUCUACUAGAACCAGUCUACCUCCUCCGUCUCCAGGAGUGAGUAAACCUAUGGGUGGGAGUGGGUUUAGAAGUAAAACCCCUAGACCUCAGUUUUCAAACCCCAACCCUAGAUUUAGAGAGUUUAAAGACAAAAGCCCUCUGGUCUGUCACUCCUGUGGUCAAAUUGGUCAUUUUAGGUCAGAAUGCCCCGAGCAGCAGGUCAGUAAGACAUUCAUGUGUUUGGGCCCGCAACCUCAGUGUGUCCUAGAAGAGAUGUCUCCACCAAUUAUUGAUGAGGAAAGAACUGUCUGUGUUUUUAUAGAUGACAAACCACAUAUUGCGCUGUUAGACUCAGGCAGUAGCCGCACCCUCAUUAGAGAAGACUGUCUGCCUAAAGAUGUCACUUUUAGGGGUAAAAUGAAAAUUUGGUGUGUUCAUGGAGACAAUGUGGACUAUCCUAUUGCUAAUGUUAACAUCCAAGUUGAGGACCAGCAGUAUUUACUCUCAGUGGGUGUUAUGUCCAAACUGCCCUACCCAGUUAUACUGGGGCGGGACCUGCCCAUUUUGCAUGAAUUAAUAGCAAAAGACAGAGCAUCUUCAUUGCAGCUAUGGGCUAGGUCAGUGGCUGAAGAAGAGGAAUGUCAGGAGCUGUUCUUCCCUUCAUUAAAGGAAGACCAGUCACUACCAGAUCUCGGCCACCUCUCGUCAGACCGGAAGGAGGAGCUACACCAAAUCAUGGAUCCAGCUCUGUUCAGCACAAAACCAGGCUGCACAGAUCUCAUCCAGCAUGACAUCAGGCUCCGGGACCCCAAUCAGCAGCCCAUCAGAGACACCUCAUCCAGGAUCCCGGCUAAGCUGCUGCCUGCUGUAAAGCAAGAGGUGGAAGAUAUGCUGGCCAUGGGAGUCAUUGAACAUUCAAAAAGUGAGUGGUGUAGUCCUGUUGUUUUAGUCCCAAAGAAAAAUGACCCAAGACAAAGAUUCUGU
rnacentral:lncRNA from 1 species